UACAGAGGGGGCAAGGCGUUAUUCGGAAUUAUUGGGCGUAAAGGGCGCGUAGGCGGCUUGGCAAGUGGAUGGUGAAAUCCCUCGGCUUAACCGAGGAACUGCCGUCCAAACUGCUUAGCUUGAGACCGGGAGAGGUGAGUGGAAUUCCCAGUGUAGCGGUGAAAUGCGUAGAUAUUGGGAGGAACACCUGUGGCGAAAGCGGCGCACUGGACCAUAACUGACGCUGAGGCGCGAAAGCUAGGGGAGCAAACAGG
rnacentral:rRNA from 1 species